GAGGGUAGAGCUCAGUGGUAGAGCGCGUGCUUAGUGUGCACAAGGUUCUGGGUUCAAUCCCUCGUACCUCCA
rnacentral:tRNA from 1 species